UUUUUUCUAAAAUUUAUAGCGUACGGGUGAGGAAUAUGUAUAGUCUGAAAUAGAAAAUUUGAUUAAAUAAAAAUUUAUUUAUAAAUUUUUAUGAAUAUUAAAUAUUAUAUUUUAUAAUAUAUAAAAAUUAUUUGUUAACUAGAGUAGGUAUACAUAAAAUUAGGUUGUUGGUGAAAUUAAAAGUUUACCAAGCCGAUGAUUUUUAGUUGAUUUGAGAGAAUGACCAACCACAUUGGAAUUGAAAAAAGGUCCAAACGCAUUUUGCGGCAGCAGUGAGGAAUAUUGGACAAUGCACGAAAGUGUGAUUCAGCCAUAUUGCGUGAGUGUUAAAAUUAUUAUUUUAAAGCUCUGGCGUUAAUGAAGAUUAUGACGGUAGUUAAAUAGGAAGUUCCGACUAACUUCGUGCCAGCAGUCGCGGUAAUACGGGGGGAACGAGUGUUAUUCAUCAUAACUGGGUGUAAAGUGCAUGUAGAUGGUAUAGGAGAUAUUUAUUAAGUUUAUUAAUUAAAUAUUAAUAUACUUGAAUUUAGUAGAAAUUUGUAGAAUUUAAUUUAAAGGGGUGGAAUGCGGUAUAAAUUAAAGACUAACAAUAGGCGAAGGCAACAAAUUAUACUUAAUUGACAUUGUAAUGCAAAAGCAUAGGGAGCAAACAGGAUUAGAUACCCUGGUAGUCUAUGCCCUGACCGAUGUACAUUAAAUUUAUAUAUCAAUCAAAAUCUAUAUAUAAAUUACAGCUAACGCGUAAAUGUACCACCUGAGGAGUACGAUCGCAAGGUUGAAACUC
rnacentral:rRNA from 1 species